rnacentral:tRNA from 1 species
GGAUAGAGCAAUCGGAUUUCGAUUCCGAGGGUCGGAGGUUCGAAUCCUUCCGAGCGCGCCA